rnacentral:miRNA from 1 species
GAAGGAAAAACGAAGGGAUAUAAAUGUGAGGAACAUUUAUAAAUGUUCCUCACAUUUAUAUCCCUUCGUUUUUAUAAAGAUAUAU